rnacentral:ncRNA from 1 species
GCAGAGUAGACUCGAAUGCGUUAAGUGUCGGCUGAACAGGGAGUUGUCAGUCGGACGAAGCCAAAGGUGCGGUAUUCGGGUCGCAUCCCGCUGC